rnacentral:rRNA from 1 species
UGGUUUAAUUCGAAGCAACGCGAAGAACCUUACCAGGUCUUGACAUCCUCUGACAACUCUAGAGAUAGAGCGUUCCCCUUCGGGGGACAGAGUGACAGGUGGUGCAUGGUUGUCGUCAGCUCGUGUCGUGAGAUGUUGGGUUAAGUCCCGCAACGAGCGCAACCCUUGAUCUUAGUUGCCAGCAUUUAGUUGGGCACUCUAAGGUGACUGCCGGUGACAAACCGGAGGAAGGUGGGGAUGACGUCAAAUCAUCAUGCCCCUUAUGACCUGGGCUACACACGUGCUACAAUGGAUGGUACAAAGGGCUGCAAGACCGCGAGGUCAAGCCAAUCCCAUAAAACCAUUCUCAGUUCGGAUUGUAGGCUGCAACUCGCCUACAUGAAGCUGGAAUCGCUAGUAAUCGCGGAUCAGCAUGCCGCGGUGAAUACGUUCCCGGGCCUUGUACACACCGCCCGUCACACCACGAGAGUUUGUAA